rnacentral:lncRNA from 1 species
AACGGUCCCGAGGCGGACGCCCCGGCGCCAGCGCCUCCACGGGGUCGCGGAGCAGACCUAGAGGAAUUCCUGGGCUCAGGCCGCCCAACACCAGCGACGGUAAGGCUGCCGUAGUCAUCGUCAUCAUAAUCAUCAUCAUUUUCGUAGGGGUUGUCUUGGGGCGGCUGGUGGCGCUGAUGCAGUGGCUGCUGGCGUUGUUGUUGCUGUUGCUCCUGAAGCCGUUGGAGCUGUUCCCGCUGCAGGCGCCUCUCAUUCAACCUAAGGCGGCGCCGCAAGCUGUGUCGAGCGAGCUGGGUGCGGCAAGAGCUGCGGAGGAGUUCGCCGCCGCCCCGCGGGAUGCAGCGGAGGCAAGAGAGGGUUUAGGAAGGCUCCAAACCAAAGAGAUUGUGUGAGUGAGUGUUGUGUUGUUUGCAAACUGCUGAGUAAGAAAAUGUAUUGCCCACAUUGAGCUUGUGCCAAAUGUCUGCCAAAAGGGGGCUUGACGUACGGGGGUACACGCGGCCCCCAAAGCCUUUUUGCCUAAGGGAUUGUGCCAAAACGUUUUGUACAGUGGACCCCGAGAAUUACAGCAGUGCUAACCACACACUGGCAGCGUGUAAACCAUUUG